ACCUGGGUGGCUCAGUGGUUGAGUGUCUGCCUUCAGCUCAGGACGUGAUCCCGGGGACUUGGGAUCGAGUCCCACCUCAGGCU
rnacentral:tRNA from 1 species